GGGUGUUCAUGGAUUAUCUUCUGCUUGAGAUCGGUAACGGUGUCGGUGCUGGAGACGAUAGUAGCCAAGUGAGUGCCGAGGCCGGUGUCUAUGAACACGGCGCGGUACGGCGUCGUAUCAUCGGAGUUGGAAGCUNNNGACAUGACUCAGGUACUUACGGUGUGUUCAGAGAAAGAACAACCGGUGAUAGGGUUUUAUGUUUAGCGUUUGGGGUUUGUGAAGCGGCGAAGAUGCACUACGGUGAUCUUUCUU
rnacentral:misc_RNA from 1 species